UGCAAAUGCUGGAGUGGCAAUAUACCUGUGCUGCGCUUGCUGAUCCAAGGCAUAUGAAAAUGAGUGCAAAAUGCAGAGACGAUAACACAUCACUGGAGGAUUUACAUAAAGCGGAGAGGGUGGGGGAAGAGAUCAUUUUCUACAGCAUCGAAGACAACAUACAUGCACAAGGAGGAUGUACUAGUUUAAGACGGUUUGGCAAGGUCUUGGACAGCCUCCUUAGUGACAGGUGGAAAGGAGUGACAGAGCUGGACAUCAUCUGCGUACAGAUGACACCGCACUCCGAAACUCCGGAUGAUCUCUCCCAGCGGCUUCAUGUAGAUGUUAAACAACAAGGGGACAAUAUCGACCCCUGCGGGACCCCACAAGUCAACGGUUAUGGGGCUGAGCAGAUGUCCCCCAAUAACACCAUCUGGGAUCGAUCCUCUAGGAAUGAGUGGAGCUACUGCAAAACAGUUCCUCCAAGACCCAUCCCCGCGAGGCGUCCCAGAAGGAUACCGUGGUCAACGGUAUCGAAGGCCGCUGUGUGGUCCAGCAGAACCAGCAGGGACACUCUCUCCCUGUCCAGCUCCCGGCGAAGAUCAUCCACUAAGGCGACCAAGACUGUCUCGGUACCAUGCCCCGGCCUGAAGCCAGACUGCACCAGAUCUAGAAAAUCAGUAUCAUCCAAGAAUCUCUGUAGUUGCGAGGCAACCACAUGUUCCAUGACCUUGCCCAAAUAGGGGAGAUUGGAAAUGGGCUGAAAGUUUCUGAAUUGAGUGGGAUCCAGUGAUGGCUUUUUCAACAGCGGUUUGAUCACAGCCAUCUUUAGGCUCGCUGGAAUUUUGCCCUCCCAAAGGGAAGCAUUCACCAUCACCUUCACCCACUCAGCUAAACCCCCUCUGGCUCCUCUUACCAGCCACGAUGGGCAGGGGUCUAGGAUGCAUGUGGUUGGUCUCGCUUCUCCAAGGAUCUUGUCCACAUCCUCGAGCUCAACCAAUUGAAAUGAAUCCAUCAAAACUGGACAAGCAGAUGUUCUUGCUACAUCCUCAGAGACUGCAGUUAAUAUGGCAUCCAGGUCAGAGCGGAUCAAAGCGACUUUGUCUGCAAAGUACUGAGCAAAUGCUUCACAGCGGGCUGCUGAGUUGUCUUGGGGGACGGGAUAUAACAAACCUCUGACAGCUUGAAACAUCUCCGCCGGACGGUUCUUUGCAGACACAAUAUUAGCUGCAAGGAAAACAUUCUUUGCAGCAUCUAUUGCCACGGCAUAUACCCUAAGAUAGGAACACAGCCGUGUUCGGUUUGGCUCGCUCAGCUCUGAACGCCAUACGCCCUCUAGUCCCCUUUUCUUUCGCUUCAUCGCUGCCAGCUUCUCAGUGAACCAAGGAGAUGGUUUAGCUUGGUUACUCGAGAGGGGACGUUCCGGGACAAUCCUCAAGAAUCCUCUCAGCUUUCUUAAGGCUGCGGGACUUAUAAAGUUUUUCCAAAGAGGGGAGAGGACAACAAAUAAUUCUCUGUGCUGAAGUGGUGAUCCUUUGGAGUGUCUUCCUAUCUGUCACUGUGCAGUUGCCAAACCACACACAGAUGCAGUUGGUCAGGACACUCUCGUUCUGGUCCAAGGUUUCCAUUGCUAACCUGCUGGAAACCACAUGUCGGUGAUGACCACAACCAGAAUACCAGGGAGAUUGGAAGUAAACUCUCCCCAAGCUGAACCUCUGUUGGGAAUAACGUCCAGGACCUUAAUGUCUCCCAUUUAUGGCUGCAGGAAAAGUGGCUAUAAAACUGUCAGAUUUGUUGCUCCAUCCUGUGACAAUGAAUCUGGCCACCCCUGUUGAAAUCAAUUUAAAACUCCUUGAAGAAACAAAGCAUGCUAGAGCCACUAAGCCAAAGAUUUGGUCUAAGUUCAAGCAAACCUCUCUAAUAAUGCAAACUGAUGCAUGUCUAAACACCACUGAGUCCAGUGGGAGUAGAAAAGAGUUUAUAGGGCUACAGCCUUAGUUAGGAUUUUAAAGGUGCUGAUGUAUUUAUAAGCAAUGUGACUUUCCAUAUUUUUAUUAAAAUAGUUUUGUAAGUGUCC
rnacentral:lncRNA from 11 species